rfam:Perkinsus marinus ATCC 50983 gcontig_1104296721160, whole genome shotgun sequence.
GCUGGGUGAGUUGCGAUCGCCUGUAACCCAUGCGGGGGUGAGAUUUGUGUGAAUUGGGUGUCGUGUCGCGGCCUGACCGGUGAUCAGCUGUCCAUCCCAAGGUGCCACUAAGGUCGGGUGGGAAGGCGGAAGUCAUCACAUCCGAUCAUCUGAAGGCGCGGGUACUGGCCAAGGCUGGGAACAGAGCAGGCAAUACCGCACGAUGGGACCAGUGAGGGUGGAGAGCGGCUGAGAGGUCGGUAGCCAACACAACAACAACGAGAUGCAAAACACACAGAUCGCUU